GGGCCUGCGGCGCAUUAGUUAGUUGGCGGGGUGAAGGCCCACCAAGACGAUGAUGCGUAGCCGGACUGAGAGGUUGAACGGCCACAUUGGGACUGAGAGACGGCCCAAACUCCUACGGGAGGCAGCAGUAGGGAAUUUUCGGCAAUGGGGGCAACCCUGACCGAGCAACGCCGCGUGAACGACGAAGUACUUCGGUAUGUAAAGUUCUUUUAUCAGGGAAGUGACGGUACCUGAUGAAUAAGCCCCGGCUAACUAUGUGCCAGCAGCCGCGGUAAUACAUAGGGGGCAAGCGUUAUCCGGAAUUAUUGGGCGUAAAGGGUGCGUAGGUGGCCGUUUAAGUCUUUGGUGUAAGUGCAAGGCUCAACCUUGUGAUGCUAAAGAAACUGGAUGGCUUGACUGUGAUAGGUAAGCGGAAUUCCUGGUGUAGCGGUGAAAUGCGUAGAU
rnacentral:rRNA from 1 species